UGUGGGAGCGAGCUUGCUCGCGAAAGCGUCUUGCCAGUCGCCAUAGAUGCUGGUUUACACCGCCUUUCGCGAGCAAGCUCGCUCCCACA
rnacentral:antisense_RNA from 1 species